rnacentral:lncRNA from 1 species
GGACAGGGAUGGACAGGGAUGGACAGCAGGACAGAGGGGUGGACAGAGGAGUGGACAGCAGCACAGAGGGACGGACAGGACAGAGGGACAGAAGGAUGGACAGGAUGGACAGCAGCACACACUGACCACCCCCCUCUCCCUCCCCCAGAGCGCCUCUUCCGCUGCCGCUUCACCACUUCGCGCGCCUCUCGCCGCCCCAGCGCCGGCCGCAAACUGGUGCUGCUGCGGGGGCGCUUCCAGGAGCCCCCCGGGCCCCCCGGCGCCGCCCCCGCGCUCUUCGUGGCGUUCUGCGCCCCCCUGGACCCCCCGCCCUGGCCCUGCCCCGACUGCCUCCUGCUGCCCACCUUCCAGAGCCGCCACGCCCGCGACCUCGCCCUGCUCGACAUCUCGGACAGGUGGGACGGGCGGGACGGGCGGCGGGUCCGAGCGUCCGGUGACCCGGGGGACACGGGAGUGACCCCGGCCCGGUGUCCGCAGUGUCCUGGUGCACCUGGGCUACGGCCGGGCCGAGCUGCUGGGCCGCUCCUGGUACCGCCUGCUGCACCCCGAGGACCUCGGCCACGUCGCCCGCCAGCACCUGCGCCUCGCGGGCGCGGGGCCGGAGGCGCGGGCCGAGCUGGUGACGCGGCUGCAGCGCAAGGACGGUCUGGGCUGGACGUGGGUCUACGCCCGCCUGCGGCCGGAGGGGCCGGCACUGCUCGCCCACAACUUCGUCAUCAGCGAGGCCGAGGCCUGGUGCCUGCGGCAGCAGCUGGCGGCCGAAGCCCCCCCGGGACCCCCGGAGCCGUUCGGGCCCGGCCUCGACUUUCCCAGCAGCGACCUCGGCCUGGACCUCGGCCUGGGCGACGACGUCGGAGCCAUCGGCCUGGCGGUCAGCGUGGGACACGGCCCUGCGGCCACCACUGACCACAGCUUGGCGGUCAGCGUGGGACACGGCCCUGCGGCCACCGCUGACCACAGCCUGGCAGUCAGCAUGGGACACGGCCUCGGACACGGCCCUGCGGCCACCGCUGACCCCGGCCUUGGGGCCACCAUUGGCCACGGCCUCGGAGCUGCCCUGGGCAGUGGCGUGGAGCCCGGCCUGGGGGCCGGCAUCGGACACGGCCUCGGACAUGGCGCUGCGGCCACCGCUGACCACGGCCUUGGGCCUGGCCUCGGACACGGCCUGGGAGCCAACGCUGCGGCCACUGUGGACCCUGGACUUGGGGCUGCCAUCGGACACGGCCUUGGGGCCACCACUGCGGCCACCGCUGACCCCGGCCUUGGGACCGGCAUCGGACACGGCCUCGGACACGGCGCUGCGGCCACCGCUGACCACGGCCUCGGGGCCGUCAUUGGACAUGGCCUUGGGGCCACCACUGCGGCCACCGCUGACCCCGGCCUUGCCCCGAACGUCGGCCAUGGCCUCGGCCCGGACACCGGCAUCGGCCUCGGCGUGGGAGGCGCCGUCAGAGUGGACAUGGGCCUGGGCGUGGCGGCCGGAGCCGACAUGGGGCCUGCCCUGGGGACUGACCUCGGGGAGGACGGCGCGGCCGGAGUGACCGCCAGCAUCGGGGCGGGCGUGGCCCUCAGCCUCGGGACUGACCUCAGGGCUGGCGUGGGGCUGGGCCUCGCGCUGCCGCCGGACAUCGGAGUGACCACCGGGGCCGGGGCCGGACUCGGCCUGGCAGCUGCCCUGGGAGCCAACGCGGGAUCGACUCUCCCGUCCGGCACUGGCCUCGGACAGAACUCUGGCCUCGGACAGAACCCCGGCCUCGGACAGAACCCCGGCCUCGGACACAACCCUGGCCUCGGACAGAACCCCGGCCUUGGACAGAACCCCGGCCUCGGACACAACCCUGGCCUCGGACAGAACCCCGGCCUCGGACAGAACCCCGGCCUCGGACAGAACCCCGGCCUCGGACACAACCCUGGCCUCGGACACAGCUCCAGUCUUGGACACAACCCCGGCCUUGGACACAACAUUGACCUUGAAAAUAGCCCUGGGCUUGGACACAAUGUUGGACUUGGACACAACUCUGGCCUCGGACACAACUCUGGCCUCGGACACAACCCCGGGCUCGGACACAACCCCGGCCUGGCCGUCGGCCUGGCGGUCGGAGCGUCCCUGGGGCCAGAGCUGGACAUCGGCCUGGCCGUGGGUGCUGCUCUCCGGCCGGACGUCGGCCCCGUGGCCGGGCUGGGCCUGGGCUCCGGCUCCGGCCCGGCCCGGCCGGACAUCGGCACUGACCCCUCACCGGCCGGGCCCGCGCUCGGCCUAGGCCUGGGCCUGGGCUCUGGCUCCGGCCUGGCCCGGCCGGACAUCGGCGCUGACCCGUCGCCGGCCGGGCCUGCGCUCGGCCUAGGCCUGGGCCUGGGCCUGGGCCUGGGCGCCGCCAUGGCCGCACCGCGCCCCCCGCUCGGGCUGGGCCGCCUGGGGCUGGGGGUCCCUGAGGGCCCCGCGGGCGGCACCGAGACCUGGACCCCCCCCUACACCCCCCGUCAGGCGCCGCCGUUCGCCUUCGGGCCCCCCGAGCCCCCCGAGGCCGAGAAGCUGCCGCCGAGCCCCGAGAGCCCGGGCGGGGUGCCGGGGGGUCCCCCCGCGGCCCUGCUGACCCCCGAGACGUCGCCGCCGCCGCCCGCACCUCCGGCCGCGCCCGCGCUGCGCCGGCUGCUGCUGCGGGGGCUGGCGGCCAUCGCCGCCCGCGGCCGCCCCCGCGGACCCCCGGGCAACGACCCCCCGCCCCGGCCGCCCCCGCCCCGGUCGCCCCGCGACCCCUUCCAUGAGUUGUAUCAACUCCCCCAGAGCCGCCUCCAGGACGCCUUCCGCAAAGCCGGAAGCCAGCGCGCCCCGUCGUUCUGAACUAAGUCUGUGACGCGACUUGCCCCCAGUAUGGCAUAUUGUCAUUGUCACCCCGGCCCGGCCAGCGCCCCCCGGCCCGGCCGCCCCCGCCGCCGCCCCCCGGGGCCGCUCGUGCUAAUUUAACUCGUAACGAGUCUCUAAGGUAAUUGGGGGGGGGCUGGUGGCCCCCCCCUCCCCCAGCCCGGACGCCUGGGGACCGUCCCUCGUGUCCCCUCGUCCCCCCACACACACCUUGUCCCCUCCCCCCGCGCCAGGACCCGUCGCCAAAAAUAUUUUGGGUCGCUGGGAUGGGGGCUGGGACCCCACUGUCCCCUCCCCCAGCCCGGAGUGUCCCUGUCCCCUUUGUCACCCCCCUGGUCCGUCACCUCCCCCCAGCCCCGCCCCCACCUCGGGCUCUGCGUUUUUGGCAGAGUUCCCCCCCCCCCCCAAAAAAAAAACCUGUGUCCCCUUCCCCCACCCGUGGGUGCCACCCUCAAUGUCCCCAACGCGGGGGACGGAGGCACGAUGUGGCUUGAUGUACCCAAAGUCCCCAUGAUGUCCCCAAGGAUGUCCCCAGUGAUGUCCCCAAAGUCCCAAUGAUGUCCCCAAAGUCCCCAGGGAUGUCCCCAAUGAUGUCCUUAAAGUCCCCAAUGUCCCCAGUGAUGUCCCCAAGGAUGUCCCCGACACCCCCGAGCCCCCGGGGCUGAGGCACAAUGUGGCUCAGUGUCCCCAAUGUCCCCAACCCACCCACAGGGUGGGGAUGGGUCACGGCUCGGUGUCCCCAGUGUCCCCAAGCCCCUCCAAGGGACAUCCUGGCCUGAUGUCCCCAACGUCCCCAAUGUCCCCAACCUGAGGGGCUGAGACACACCAUGACUCGGAGCCCCUGAUGUCCCCAACGUCCCCAGUGUCCCCAACGUCCCCAGUGUCCCCACUGUCCCCAGUGACCCCAACGCCCCCAACGUCCCCAACACCCCCUCCCCAACACACGUCGCAGCGCGAUGUCCCCGAACCCACGCCACCGUCCCCAGCUCCGUGUCCCCAACGUCCCCGAGGGGACACGGGCACCUGGUCACCGCCUCGGCCGGACAGACGGACACGUGGCUCCAUGUCCCCGAUGUCCCCAAGGGACACGGGACCCGCUCGUCACCCGCAUCAAAGACUGACACACCCCGGUGUCCCCGGUGUCCCCAACCCCACGGACUGAGCCUGUCGCGACCCGGCGUCCCCAAUGUCCCCAAUGUCCCCGAUGUCCCCGAUGUCCCCGAUGUCCCCAACGGCCCCCGACGAUGUCCCCGUUGUCCCCCCUCGGCAAUAAAAACGUGUCCCCCGA